CCUACGUGGUGCUGCAGUGGGGAAUAUUGGACAAUGGGCGAAAGCCUGAUCCAGCCAUGCCGCGUGUGUGAAGAAGGCCUUCGGGUUGUAAAGCACUUUCAGUGGGGAAGAAAGCCUUGGGGCUAAUACCCUCGAGGAAGGACAUCACCCACAGAAGAAGCACCGGCUAACUCCGUGCCAGCAGCCGCGGUAAUACGGAGGGUGCGAGCGUUAAUCGGAAUUACUGGGCGUAAAGCGCGCGUAGGCGGUCUGAUAAGCCGGUUGUGAAAGCCCCGGGCUCAACCUGGGAACGGCAUCCGGAACUGUCAGGCUAGAGUGCAGGAGAGGAAGGUAGAAUUCCCGGUGUAGCGGUGAAAUGCGUAGAGAUCGGGAGGAAUACCAGUGGCGAAGGCGGCCUUCUGGACUGACACUGACGCUGAGGUGCGAAAGCGUGGGUAGCAAACAGGAUUAGAUACCCGUGUAGUC
rnacentral:rRNA from 1 species